UACGAGGGGUGCAAGCGUUGCUCGGAAUUAUUGGGCGUAAAGGGUAGGUAGGUGGUCUCAUUUGUCUGGGGUGAAAGCCUUGAGCUUAACUCGAGAAGUGCCUCAGAAACGGUGAGACUAGAGUUCUGGAGAGGGUCGUGGAAUUCCCGGUGUAGCGGUGAAAUGCGUAGAGAUCGGGAGGAACACCAGAGGCGAAGGCGGCGUCCUGGACCAACACUGACACUGAUGAGCGAAAGCCAGGGGAGCAAACGGG
rnacentral:rRNA from 1 species